AUUGAACGCUGGCGGCAGGCCUAACACAUGCAAGUCGAGCGGAUGAAGAGAGCUUGCUCUCUGAUUUAGCGGCGGACGGGUGAGUAAUGCCUAGGAAUCUGCCUGGUAGUGGGGGAUAACGUUCCGAAAGGAACGCUAAUACCGCAUACGUCCUACGGGAGAAAGCAGGGGACCUUCGGGCCUUGCGCUAUCAGAUGAGCCUAGGUCGGAUUAGCUAGUUGGUGAGGUAAUGGCUCACCAAGGCUACGAUCCGUAACUGGUCUGAGAGGAUGAUCAGUCACACUGGAACUGAGACACGGUCCAGACUCCUACGGGAGGCAGCAGUGGGGAAUAUUGGACAAUGGGCGAAAGCCUGAUCCAGCCAUGCCGCGUGUGUGAAGGAGGCCUUCGGAUUGUAAAGCACUUUAAGUUGGGAGGAAGGGCAGUAAGUUAAUACCUUGCUGUUUUGACGUUACCGACAGAAUAAGCACCGGCUAACUUCGUGCCAGCAGCCGCGGUAAGAC
rnacentral:rRNA from 1 species